AUUGAACGCUGGCGGCAGGCUUAACACAUGCAAGUCGAGCGGAGAGAGGUAGCUUGCUACUGAUCUUAGCGGCGGACGGGUGAGUAAUGCUUAGGAAUCUGCCUAUUAGUGGGGGACAACAUUUCGAAAGGAAUGCUAAUACCGCAUACGUCCUACGGGACAAAGCAGGGGAUCUUCGGACCUUGCGCUAAUAGAUGAGCCUAUGUCGGAUUAGCGAGUUGGUGGGGUAAAGGCCUACCAAGGCGACGAUCUGUAGCGGGUCUGAGAGGAUGAUCCGCCACACUGGGACUGAGACACGGCCCAGACUCCUACGGGAGGCAGCAGUGGGGAAUAUUGGACAAUGGGCGGAAGCCUGAUCCAGCCAUGCCGCGUGUGUGAGGAAGGCCUUAUGGUUGUAAGGCACUUUAAGCGAGGAGGAGGCUACUUUAGUUAAUACCUAGAGAUAGUGGACGUUACUCGCAGAAUAAGCACCGGCUAACUCUGUGCCAGCAGCCGCCGUAAUAC
rnacentral:rRNA from 1 species